rnacentral:rRNA from 1 species
UGGGGAAUCUUCCGCAAUGGACGAAAGUCUGACGGAGCAACGCCGCGUGAGUGAUGAAGGAUUUCGGUCUGUAAAGCUCUGUUGUUUAUGACGAACGUGCAGUGUGUGAACAAUGCAUUGCAAUGACGGUAGUAAACGAGGAAGCCACGGCUAACUACGUGCCAGCAGCCGCGGUAAUACGUAGGUGGCGAGCGUUGUCCGGAAUUAUUGGGCGUAAAGAGCAUGUAGGCGGCUUAAUAAGUCGAGCGUGAAAAUGCGGGGCUCAACCCCGUAUGGUGCUGGAAACUGUUAGGCUUGAGUGCAGGAGAGGAAAGGGGAAUUCCCAGUGUAGCGGUGAAAUGCGUAGAUAUUGGGAGGAACACCAGUGGCGAAGGCGCCUUUCUGGACUGUGUCUGACGCUGAGAUGCGAAAGCCAGGGUAGCGAACGGG